AUACCCAAAUAGCGGAGGAAAAGAAACUAACAAGGAUUCCCCUAGUAAUGGCGAAUGAAGAGGGAAAAGCCCAAAUUUGUAAUCUGGCUCUUUCAGAGUCCGAGUUGUAAUUUUAAGAACUGUUUUCAGUGCUGGACCAUAUAUAAGUCUGUUGAAAAGCAGCAUCAUAGAAGGUGAUAAUCCUGUUCAUGAUAUGGACUACCAGUGCAAUAUGAUACAGUCUCUAAGAGUCGAGUUGUUUGGGAAUGCAGCUCAAAGUGGGUGGUAAAUUCCAUCUAAGGCUAAAUAUUGAUGAGAGACCGAUAGCAAACAAGUACCGUGAGGGAAAGAUGAAAAGAACUUUGGAAAGAGAGUUAACAGUACGUGAAAUUGUUAAAAGGGAAACAAUUGAAGUUAGACUUGUUAUUGAUUAGUUCAACCUUUUCUAAGGGAGUAUUCUAAUGAUUAACAGACCAACAUCAAUUUUUGGGUGUUGGAGAAGGGCUUAAGGAAAUGUAGCAGUCUCUGGCUGUGUUAUAGUCCUGAGCUUUGAUACAAUGCUUAAGAUUGAGGAAUGCAGUAAGCCUAUUUUUUGGGUGGAACAAAUUAUUGUUCUUCUUACUGAGGAUGUUGGUGCAAUAGCUUUAAAUGACCCGUCUUGAACCCCCGGACCAA
rnacentral:rRNA from 1 species